rnacentral:lncRNA from 1 species
CCAAUUCAAGUGCACAUAAGUAACUACGAAUGAUAUUAAUUAUAGUAGCGGAAGCUUAAGAGCUAAUCUUGUAAUUCGACAAUCAACUAGCUACUGAACAAGAGCGAACAAAUCAAUUCGGACCAAUAGAAGAACAAUAAGAACAAGGUAACAACAGAAAUUAAACCGGCAACUUUAUGAUCUAAACACUCCAAUCGCAACCUCCAAUCAUACAGGUGCAGCCUCCUGCCGUAGUCCACCGUAGUCCUCGACUAACUCCGAUCAGGUUGACGGUUGUUGAAGCUCGGCAAUCUGAUGCAAAUGCCCCUUCGUAUUUGCAAUCUCAGCCUACGUGUUCUCCAAGGUGAAAAGCGCGACCUUUCUGUUCGGCAAGAGACUCUCUUUUAUAGUCGUCGAUGGAGUUCUUCUUGAAGAGAAAGUCAGUGGGGAAAUUUCUUCGAAGACGUCAAUCUGUGAUUGCCGAUCUCCUC